rnacentral:rRNA from 1 species
UACGUAGGGGGCAAGCGUUGUCCGGAUUUAUUGGGCGUAAAGAGCUCGUAGGCGGUUUGGUAAGUCUGGUGUGAAAUCUCCACGCUCAACGUGGAGGGGCCACCCGAUACUGCCAUGACUGGAGUCCGGUAGAGGAGUGUGGAAUUCCCGGUGUAGCGGUGAAAUGCGCAGAUAUCGGGAGGAACACCCGUAGCGAAGGCGGCACUCUGGGCCGGAACUGACACUGAACGACGAAAGCCAGGGGAGCAAACGGG